UACAGAGGGUGCGAGCGUUGUCCGGAAUCACUGGGCGUAAAGGGCGCGUAGGUGGCGACCCAAGUCGAUGGUGAAAGCUCGCCGCUCAACGGCGAGUCGGCCACCGAUACUGGGUUGCUUGAGCACUGUAGAGGCUAAUGGAAUUCCGGGUGUAGCGGUGGAAUGCGUAGAGAUCCGGAAGAACACCGGUGGCGAAGGCGGUUAGCUGGGCAGUUGCUGACACUGAGGCGCGGACAGCGUGGGGAGCAAACAGG
rnacentral:rRNA from 1 species